rnacentral:rRNA from 1 species
GGUCGGAUUAGCUUAGUUGGUGAGGUAAUGGCUCACCAAGGCGACGAUCCGUAACUUGGUCUGAGAGGAUGAUCAGUCACACUGGAACUUGAGACACGGUCCAGACUCCUACGGGAGGCAGCAGUGGGGAAUAUUGGACAAUGGGCGAAAGCCUUGAUCCAGCCAUGCCGCGUGUGUGAAGAAGGUCUUCGGAUUGUAAAGCACUUUAAGUUGGGAGGAAGGGCAGUUACCUAAUACGUGAUUGUUUUGACGUUACCGACAGAAUAAGCACCGGCUAACUCUGUGCCAGCAGCCGCGGUAAUACAGAGGGUGCAAGCGUUAAUCGGAAUUACUGGGCGUAAAGCGCGCGUAGGUGGUUUGUUAAGUUGGAUGUGAAAUCCCCGGGCUCAACCUGGGAACUGCAUUCAAAACUGACUGACUAGAGUAUGGUAGAGGGUGGUGGAAUUUCCUGUGUAGCGGUGAAAUGCGUAGAUAUAGGAAGGAACACCAGUGGCGAAGGCGACCACCUGGACUAAUAC